GGAAAACUUGUCUUUCUGAUGGCAGUCCCUGUUUCGCCGCAGUUAAGAGGAAGCUCUUCUGUCUGAGGCUGGAGGGCGAGAUUUGGCAUGUCUGGGGCUGGGAGUUCAAAGCUUUCUGAAGUUGAUCAGAUCUCAAAUUCUUCAUCUGUAAAACAGAGAGUGUAUAUGAGACAGAGACCUAGCCUUGGAGACAAGCAGACCUGGGUUCAGGUGUCAUAUGCUGGUUGUGGAACCCUAGGCAAGUCAUACGAUCUCUUAAUGGCCCUGGAAACUCUCUAAGACUAUCAGGAAUACGUGGGAGACAAUGUGUAUGUAUUGGUAGAAAGAGUUCCUCACCCAGACUUUCUGAUAUGAAUGAAAUAAAAACACAAAAUAAAACAUAAUAUUGUUUAUA